UACGAAGGGGGCUAGCGUUGUUCGGAAUUACUGGGCGUAAAGCGCGUGUAGGCGGUUCUUUAAGUCAGGGGAGAAAUGCCAGGGCUCAACCUUGGAACUGCCUUUGAUACUGGAGACCUUGAGUCCGGGAGAGGUGAGUGGAACUGCGAGUGUAGAGGUGAAAUUCGUAGAUAUUCGCAAGAACACCAGUGGCGAAGGCGGCUCACUGGCCCGAUACUGACGCUGAGGCACGAAAGCGUGGGGAGCAAACAGG
rnacentral:rRNA from 1 species